CCCGUAGAACGGUAGAAAAAAAACGAAAAAAGUAAAUAAAAACCGGAGAUAAUAUAUCGUGCGAUAAACCGACCGGCAAAAUAUCUCUAUCCGCCCUCCUUCUCUCCGCCACACGUAAACGACACGUAUAUAAUAACGACCGCAAGUAUACCGCGAAUAAAAUUAACUGUUAAAUAAUAUUAUUAUAAAAUAACAGUAUUAAAACUUUGCGUUGUGUACCACGCACAACAUUAUCUGGGACGGCGAAACCCGUAACGUAAUCGUUUACGGCAAAAUCUCGA